GGUAUAUUGACUGUGCUAAGGUAGCAUAAUAAUUUGUUUUUUAAUUGAAAACUGGUAUGAACGAUUUUACAUUAAUAAUUAAUUUCUUAGAUUUAUUUAUGGAAUUUAGAGUUUGGUUAAAAAUAACCAAAUAUUUUAAAAAGACGAUAAGACCCUAAAAGCUUUAUUUAGUAAGAAUGUUUAUAUAUAGUUUUGUAAUAAUUUAACUGGGGUAGUGUUAGUAUUUAUUAUUAGUUUUGUAUAAUUAGUUAUUUGAGGCCCUUUAUAUAAGGAAUAAAGUUUAAGUUACUUUAGGGAUAACAGCAUAAUAAUUUUUUGGAGAUCUUAUUUAUAAAAUUUAUUGUGACCUCGAUGUUGAAUUAAUAAAUCAAUUUAAAGCAGUAUUUAGAUAUGAGGGUUUGUUCAACCUUUAAUUUAUUACAUGAUCUGA
rnacentral:rRNA from 1 species